GGGCCGAUGUAGUGGAUGUCGCGGUGGACUCCAUGGCAGGGAUGACGUCACAGCCCAGCAUGGGAGCCAUGGUGGCCUGCACCAAAGGAACCAAACUCGACACUGGUAUUGCCUUAGAGAAGGUGUUUGAUUAUAGUGAGUACUGGGAGGUGACUAGAGGGCUGUAUGCUCCGUUUGACUGCACUGCUACCAUGAAGUCAGGUAACGCUGAUGUGUAUGAGAAUGAGAUUC